GUUCAGCUAGUAAUGCCUGAUGUGCUGAGCCAGGUCUGAUCUGGCCAGCUGGCUAAUGUUUUGGAGAACAUAGACCAAUAGCUAACCUAGCUACACUGCUAGUUUGCUAACCACAGUCGGUCAACACAAUAUGAAAACAUCGGAGAAAAUGAAACAUAAAUAUACGAGACCGUUUCAGACGCUGGUAAAAGUCUAAUAUAUGUAACUAGUCAAGAACAUCCAACCGUAGCAGUGGGGCAAAGUUUAACUGCCAGAACCCACACCACCAGUUGUUUGGUCAUUAACGUUGUGUUGUAAUUCUGUAAAACGAACAGAUUUAAAUUAUUCAUGUCACCAAUGGCAACAUUGUCAUCAGCUCCUCAUGGCUGUUAACAAAUGACAAACUGCAGUGAUUAGGUAACUAAUCAUUAAAAACCCAUUUUAGCUAGUUAGCUACAAACAUGGUUCUGUCAUCAAUAGUUGGAUUUCAUCAUGCUAUGGUAAGGUAAAGGUGUAGACUACAAGCUAGAUGCCCCUUUAGACUACAAGCUGGCCACACACACUUUCAUAUGGCCUUUGCGAAGACCCUUUGGUGACUGAGACCAACAAACACCAGUGUGAAGGAGGAAGGCCUGAUCUUUGAGAUGACUGUCUACCCAAAGAAUUCAGUGCGGAUCUUAUCUGCCCGGGAGUGUGGUGCCCGCGGCCUUGGCUCCCAGCGCCUCCUGCAGCAGCUUGUUGAGGAGAAGACCCGGAGGAUGAAAUGGCAGAGUCAGAAAGUGGAGUUGCCGGACAGCCCUCGUUCUACCUUCCUGUUGGCUUUUAGCCCGGACAGGACCUUAAUGGCCUCCACACAUGUCAACCACAACAUUUAUGUCACAGUGGUUAAGACAGGGAAGUGUGUUCACUCUCUGGUUGGCCAUCGCCGCACUCCUUGGUGUCUGACCUUUCACCCUACCAUCCCUGGUUUGGUGGCUUCGGGAUGUCUGGAUGGAGAGGUUCGCAUCUGGGACCUGCAUGUGAGUGGGUGUCAUCUUCUUAUGCAAAGGAACGCCAGGGACGACAUGUGCAAACAGACUCAGAGUGAUGAUGACUCUGAGGUCCCUAUGGAUAGCAUGGAGAUGCCCCACUUUCGCCAUCGAUCCUUCCUACAGUCCCAACCGGUCCGCCGUAACCCCAUUCUCCACAACUUCCUGCACAUCCUGUCAUCGAGGAACUCAGGCUCACAGUCUGAGGAGCAGCAUCCUCCUGAACCCGCUGUCAAUAGUGCUGCUGACUCUCCUAGUCUUCCCUCUGGACAUUAUUCCGCCCUGCGGAAUCGCUUCCGACCCCCCUACCAGGGUUGUGUGCAACACCUUGGUAUGGUUUGCUUCUGCAGUCGGUGCUCUCCCACCCAAGCCCCUUCACCAUCUGGAGAGGACCCCUCUGACCCUGAGAGCCUGGAGACCCAGUCCUAUGCCUCCACCUUCUCCUCUGCUCGCACUGAGCCCCAGCAGCCCUCUGAGCCUCGCUCCUCACACCGUCCCUCUGCCUUCAGCAGUGUGUACAGCGGUGCUAGAGGACACUCUUUACGCACUCCAUCUUCAGGCCACCAGCAGCCAGGCCGGGAGUGUUCUGGGCGACUGGCGGGGGCAGACUGGAUGGGUAGCAUGCUCAACAUGCGGCCUGAGCGUAGUGGGGGUGUUGGGGUAUCUCCACCCAGGACUAGUGCAUCAUCUGUCAGCCUGCUGUCUGUGCUGAGACAGCAGGAGUGCUCCUAUCAGUCGCCUGUCUACACCUCUGCCACAGAGGGAGGAAGCUUUCCCCCAGCAGUUAUGAGCCCCCACACCAGUGGAAACAGCUCUGUACAUGGACCCAGCACUAGUAGUGGACGCCACACUCUUGGGGAGGGAGGGAGCAACAGCCCCACCUCUAUCCGUAACGUGCUGCAGUGCAACUUGAAUCGCUACUUCAUGGAGUAUGAUCGCAUGCAGGAAAUGGAGCAGUCAGGUGGUGCUGGUGGAGAGAGCAGCCAAGAGCAACAGGCAUGGGAGAUGCUCAAUAAUAACAUAGACUCUGAGCGGCCUGUCACCUCUCAUUAUCAGCCCCCCCACAGCGGUGAUGAUGGUUCUGGUCCCUUCCGUGGCCAUAUGAACCGCUGCAGGGUCUGCCACAACCUGUUCACGUUUAACCAAGGUACACAGCGCUGGGAGCGCACCGGCCAGACCCCAUCACAAGAGGGGAGCACCUCAUGGCAGCCCCAAGACCCAACCCUGCCUUUCACAACAUGAGGCAGACUGUGAUACAGGAUCCCCAGUCCUCUGACAGGAGACAGUUAGCACAGCCACAGCCCAGUGCUGAUGAACCUGGAGGGGAACCCCUAGCCCGCAGAAAGAACGGGCAGUGGGGUUGGUGUAUAAUCAGGAGACAGGCCAGUGGGAGAGGGUUUACAGACAGUCUGCCAGUCCAAGUCCAGCAGUGAAUGUACCACAAGAGGCCUUAAACCAAGAAAUGCCUGACGAAAGCCCUGAUGACAAUUACCUGAGAAGGAGACUUUUGGAGUCAUCUAUUAUGUCGCCGUCUCGGUAUGACAUAUCUGGCUCCCGGGACCAUCCCAUUUAUCCAGAUCCUGCCAGGUUGUCACCUGCUGCGUAUUACGCCCAGCGGAUGAUUCAGUACUUAUCUCGGCGGGACAGCAUUCGCCAACAAUCACUGCGCUACCAGAGCCGACUGCGGCCUCUCUCGUCCACCUCGGAUAGCCCAGGAAGCAACCCCUCCGUUGAGAACAACGAGGUGGACUUUGAGGAGUUUGAGGAUAACGGUGAUCGCGCCAGACACAGGGCUCCGCGCAACGCUCGUAUGUCUGCCCCCUCACUUGGCAGAUUUGUUCCCCGGAGGUUCCUACUGCCUGAGUAUCUUCCAUAUGCUGGCAUCUUCCACCACGAGAGGGGCCAGCCUGGCCUGGCCACCCAUUCCUCUGUCAACAGGGUCCUAGCAGGUGCGGUUAUUGGUGACGGUCAGUCAGCUGUGGCCAGUAACAUCGCCAACACUACCUACCGCCUCCAGUGGUGGGACUUCACCAAGUACAACCUACCUGAAAUCAGCAACUCCUCGGUCAACGUGCUGGUGCAGAACUGCAAGAUCUACAAUGACGCCAGCUGUGACAUCUCUGCAGACGGGCAGCUCCUGGCCGUGUUCAUACCCAGCAGCCAGCGGGGCUUCCCAGACGAGGGCAUCCUGGCUAUCUACUCUCUGGCGCCUCACAACCUGGGAGAGAUGCUCUACUCCAAGAGAUUCGGUCCUAAUGCUAUUUCUGUCAGCCUGUCCCCAAUGGGCCACUACGUGAUGGUAGGCUUGGCCUCUCGCAGGAUCCUGCUCCAUCACAGCACAGACCACAUGGUAGCGCAAGUGUUAUACCUGCAGCAGCCCCAUGGUGGAGAGACUUCCAUGAGGAGAAUGUUUGAUGUGGUGUACCCCAUGGCCGCUGAUCAGCGGAGACACGUCAGCAUCAACUCGGCCCGUUGGCUCCCAGAACCUGGCCUGGGUCUUGCCUACGGUACCAACAAGGGAGACCUAGUCAUCUGCAGACCUGUAGAUGCCCAGUUAGACGGAGACGGCCCCGCUGAGCAUAGUGAGCCCGUAUUUGCUGUCAACAACAAUCGAGGCGGUGGUACUGGUGGGAGCCGCGACGGAGAGCGACCAGGGAGCAGCAGGGCCCCCUUGAGGUCUGAAAGGGACAUGGGGCUUAUGAACGCCAUCGGUCUCCAGCCCCGUCACCCUACCCCCGUUGUGACAUCACAAGGCACACAGACAGUCAUCCCACAGCUUCAGAAUGCCGACACACAGACCGACCGAGAUCCACAGGUUCCCAGCACAUUCCAGGCCUCCGAAGCAACAGACAGCUCCUUGAGCAACAUUUCCAGUGAUGUCUUGUCAGCCAACCUCAGCUGUAAUGAUUCUGGCACCAAUGAGACCUGUGUGGUGGGGGAGGAGGAGAUGGGAAGCCCCUACAAAGCCGUGGAGAUGGUCUUCAUCGCCCUGGUUACAGGCUCCCUUAGUUUUGUCACUGUCACAGGCAACAUCCUGGUGAUGCUCUCCAUUAAAGUAAAUCGGCACCUCCAGACGGUCAACAACUACUUCCUGUUUAGCCUGGCGUGUGCAGACCUUAUCAUUGGUGCGUUCUCCAUGAACCUCUACACUGUCUACAUCAUUGUGGGAUAUUGGCCCCUGGGACCUGUAGCGUGUGACUUGUGGCUGGCCCUGGAUUACGUGGUGAGCAAUGCUUCUGUCAUGAACCUUCUUAUUAUUAGCUUUGACCGCUACUUCUGUGUCACCAAGCCCCUGAGCUAUCCAGCCAGAAGGACCACCAAAAUGGCUGGGCUGAUGAUUGCAGGUGCCUGGAUUCUUUCCUUCAUUCUUUGGGCUCCUGCUAUCCUGUUUUGGCAGUUUAUUGUUGGAGAACGCACGGUUCCACCAGGAGAGUGCUACAUCCAGUUUCUCUCCAACCCUGCCGUCACUUUCGGCACAGCCAUCGCUGCCUUCUACCUGCCUGUGGUCAUCAUGAUGGUGCUCUACAUCCACAUCUCUCUGGCCAGCCGCAGCCGGGUGUCCAAGCAGAUGCCCGAGGCUGAGAAAAAGAAGAAGGGCCUCAAGAUACCUAAUCCACUCAAGAGCCACAUCCUUAACAGACAGAAUAACAACAACCCGUCCCCCAAGCCCAGUCUGGAGUCCUGCAACACCGGUGAAGCUGUGAAGAAUGGCAAGAUUGAUGUGUCUGUUGUUUCCACCAAGGCUGACGCUAGUGUCAAUCCAGAAGAGAAAGAGAGUUCCAAUGGCUCCAGCACAGCCAGCAUUGCCCCCAAAAAUGCCAAGGAGAGGGCCAACAGUGAAGCCAUUUCCGAGGGGUGCCUUGGCAUUGCUCCAGCACCUGCUCCUGCACCUGAACCUGCACCUGCAACGGCAACCGUUAAACUCAACCCUGCCUCUAAAUGGUCCAAGAUCAAGAUUGUAACCAAGCAGGCUGGUGACGAGUGCAUUACUGCCAUCGAGAUUCAGCCACCCAUCCAUGGGGGCGAGACCCGCUCUAUCCCAGUCAACCGCCCCCGGAAGGUGGCGCGCAAGUUUGCCAGUAUUGCCCGCAGCCAGGUGAAGAGGAAGCGCCAAAUGGCAGCCAGGGAGAAAAAGGUGACCAAAACCAUCUUCGCCAUCCUGCUUGCCUUCAUCCUCACAUGGACCCCGUACAAUGUCAUGGUGCUCAUCAGCACCUUCUGCCACUCCUGUGUCCCGGACACUGUGUGGGCCAUCGGCUACUGGCUGUGCUACGUCAACAGCACCAUCAACCCAGCCUGCUACGCCCUCUGCAACGCCACCUUCAAGAAGACCUUUAAGAAUCUCCUCAUGUGCCAGUAUAAGAAUAUUGGAACAAGAUGAGCUGGAGCAUACAUAUGGUGAGGGGUAAUAUUACUAAGACAUCUGGAGGGCUGAGUGGUUACAGAGAACGGGAGGAGGGAGCCUCCACAGGGAGCCUCCACAGUCAUGUUUAUCAACUUAUGUCACACUCAACGCUCCUCGGAGAUGUCUUAGCCACAGAAGAAUAGUAACAUCUUAGCUACGUCCAAAUGAUACAGUAUGAGUAUGAUGGCCAAUGUGAGGAUGGGGCAAACGAAGAAUCUGAGAUCAGCCAAAGUUAUGGAGUCCAAACAUUUCUCAGUUGUUUUCUUUUCCCCCCUGGACCCUUAUUGUGAUGACCAACAAGGACUAAUUCGUAUCCACUGAAACGUGGUAACAAUCUUCAAAAAGCCCAGCUGAACGUCUGUGGACUGAGGCCAGGGCCAAGACUUCAGUCAUCCCUCUCCAAGAUACCACCACCAAAAUCAGAGACAGUGAGGGGCAGUGUUACAUAAUAUCUGGGUGUACGGCAAAAGACACAUUUAAAAAGGAGCUUGGAAAUCUUCCUUUAUGCAACAGUAUCAAAGGAAACGAGCAUGAAAUGUCCGAUUAAACUAUCCAUUUCCUGCUUUCCCUCCUCCUUGAGGAAUUAGAAUUGAUUAAGUCCUCAUGGAGAUGGAGGCACUCCCUCACAUCAGUGAAUCCUUAUCAUAAUGUGAUAUGGAGAGCAAUGUGGUCACGACAUGAUAUGGAGAACAAAGACGAUAUGGAUCCUUUGUUGUUGCAGACUGUCUAACCUCAAGGCUAGUAGCACGUACGUCAACAUGCUGCUGGUGACUUGAAAUACGUUGUUACCCCUGAAAGUACUGUAAUGCAUAUCCAUUCACCUCCCACUGACCAAAAUAUUGAUGUAUAUGUUUUGCUCAAAAUUUAAUCUUCAAACGUGACAAACUGUUGAUGGCAGUACAAGGCCAAUGCAUAAGUUAUAACAACCAGUGUUUGGCUCCAAACAAUUCAUUUAUCGUGUCGUUACGUUGUAAGGAGAAACACCCGCCGGCAACGAUAAAGCUUUAAUUCAUUGCCAGCUUCACAAUUAUGGAAGUGUUGUGUUUUUAAAUUUGGCCUUCACUGCGACUGGAACUGCCGGUACAAAAUACAAAACACUUGUUAAGAGGGGAUACUUAUCUCGAGAGUAUUAAACAUAUUUUCUAUGUUAUCUCCUGCCUAAUUAUGAAUGUGUAAAUAGAAGGCCAUUGUAUGCUCUAAAAACUGCAGUUUCUCAUUUCAUAUCUGAAUGUUUGUACCUCUCUUGUAUUAUGUUUGUGAUUUACACAUAAUUUGACAAAUUGAAUAUAAACAAUAUAUAUAUAUAAAUAUAUAUAUAUAUAUAUAACUGUAUGUAUAUGCAAGAGAUAUUAAGAGAGUGUAUUUCUAAAUUGAUUUAAAGUCAGGAAUUUGGGGGGAAAAAGUCCCUUAUAUUUCUAAAUGUGCCACUAUUCUCCAUGUUGGAUUACAAUGUGUGAAGUCCAGCUUGUACCUUCCCAGCCUAUAUCCAUAUUCACGAGGUCACACCAAUGAUUAGGUGGGUAAUAUUACUAGCUUAUCUAACUGGUUCAAUGCAUUUUCAAAGAAGGACCUUCUAACAAAGAGCUAAAUGCAUAAAAGUAGGGAUUAGUGGGAAAAUAACUGAUGCUGUUUGGGCAUGACCUGGUCAUGUAAAAUGGCCAGCUACAGAUGUGCAUCCAUAUAAAACUGAUUUUGAAAUGAUCAUGGGGUGAUUACUGUGGUGGUAAAGCUGGAUGAAUAAUCUUACUUUAAUUCCUGAAUAUCACUUUGGCAUGACAGGCUGGGUGCGACCCUCCCCCCAAAAAAGGGUGAAAGGGAGAGUGUAAAACAUGACCACAGUUUCCUCUAGUAUGGCCCCUCCCCUAAAACAACUAUCCAGAGACAGUGUACAGAGGAUUGUAUCUUUUUCUAAUGCUUAAUAAAAGAUCUUGUACCAUUGGAAUAGUAUUUUAAAUGAUUUGACAUGUACAGUAUGCAUUCUGAUUUAAUAUACAGUAUUAAUGGAAUAUAUUUUGCACGCCACGAGUAUUACCAGUCAGACUAUGGAAUAUAGAGUUAACAUUGACAGGUAGUGAUAUCUGUUGGAGACAAUGGGAGGAGAGCCGGGGCCGGUGACCGAUCAGUGACACAGUAUGAGCUCAUGGCUGUGCUGAGAGCCCAGGUUGAGCACCGGAUCCAGCAGGAGACCCUCAGAGCCAAAGCACAGCAGCACAAAUUAUGGCACCACGACUUCAGGUCAUACACUCAGCAAGGCCCUGUGGGCUUUACAACAAAUCAACUGGUUUGCCCUGUUUUAAAGGUAAAUUGGUAUACUCAUUCAACCAUGCCUCUUUGACGAAAUAAUGAUGAGACAUCGCCUGACAUUUGACAUCAUUAUCAACUUGAGCCAGACAUUUUAUUACUUGAUCUUACAGGUCAACAGUAACAUAGUAGUGAACAUGACAGUUCCUGAAAUCCUUUUCUUAUUAAAGGGGGCUGAACAUACUGAUUUAGCCUCGGUUUCAAUUGUACUCAUUAGGAAAUGAAACUGAGAAUGAGAUUUGGGUCUUGAAGGCGUGCUUUGAUGUGGGUGUCUUUUAAGUGUUUUUGCAGGUGGGAGGCGUUUGUACAUUCACUUUGCCAAAUCCCUACACAGUUACAGUCACUAACCCUUCUAGAUAAUAUGAAACAGUCUGACCAGGUCUUGUAUCUGGAAGUAGCCUGGCCUAGGCUAGCAAGCUAGCCAACUUAUUUCGCCCAUCAGCUACAGCCAGACGGUGUGUGACUGUUACAAAGUUGGUUUGACUUUAGUCUAUCUGUGGGACUAGUUCGGGACCAUCAAUAUAUUACACAAUGUAAAUGGGAAAAUAUUUAAAUGUUGCACAACUCUUAGUUCUCAUUAAAAGCUUUCAAUAUUUGUAUAUGCAUUUCUAUAAUUUAUAGUUGGUUUGAGGUUUUUAUGUCAUUUAAUUUGGAGCUAUUGACAUUUAAAAAUAUUGUCCCCUGUACAUUGUGUAGUUUACUGAUGGUCCCUAACUAGCCCAUGUACAUUGUGUAAUUUACUGAUGGUCCCUAACUAGCCCAUGUACAUUGUGUAGUUUACUGAUGGUCCCUAACUAGCCCAUGUACAUUGUGUAGUUUACUGAUGGUCCCUAACUAGCCCCAUAGGGAUAUCCAAAUUCAAACCAAAUGUACAAUGGCCAGUGUGCUGGGCACUACUCGGGUUCUGCCAGCUGUGGGCAGGAAUUAAAUAAACCCAACCAAAGGAAAAUUGUUCGGUACCCGUCACUCCUAGUAAUCUCGCAAAUCUCAGUUUGGGACAAGACUGACUUUAUGACCAAAAUGAUCAUAUUUACACUUUGUAGUACAUUUUGACACUAGCAUAAAUGUUUCCGACACAUAUUGAUGCCACAUAGGCCAUUUGAGACAUAGUUGUUUUGAUUCAGUCUCUCUUUAAAUGCAUAAAUGUAGUAAGUUAAAUUGCCACCAACAUUUAUUAAGAAGAAACACGAAACAACCAAUAGUAAAAAUUCAGAGAGUUUAUUUAAAGUGGUUGAUUUUUUUCUGUUCCAAGGGUUUGUGUAAUAAUAAUGACAGUAAUUACAAAAAUGAGAGUACAGAUGAACUGUGCGAAGGUGUGUGCAUGUGUGUUUGCAAAAAUAUGAACACAGCAGUUCAACUCAAAAUCGCCUGACAUCUUUUGAAGUAUAUAUAUUAUAAAACUAAUUGUUUUAACAAUACCACUAUUAUCUUCACAAAGACAAUGACUGCAUUCUCAUGAGCAUUCAAGCUCAGCUUUGUAUUGUACAUGAAACAUGUUGAGCUGACGGUCCUCAGUUGACUAGAAAAAUAGUUGAUUUGCAUCUCUCUACUUUUACUAAUUGGCACACGCAAUUGAAAGCCACUCAUCAAUUCUGUUAGUAAUACUAAUUGGUAGUCAAGAGAAAACUAUAACAAUCACAACAAUGUAAGAUAAACAUUUUGAAUUGGAAAAAAACCUCAAACAUAUUAUUAAAUGAUCUACUGGUUAAGAAACCAUGUCAAACAAGGAGCUUGGUCUUGACUCCAGUUGAACUAAUGUAAAAGGUGAAAAAAAAAA